rnacentral:lncRNA from 1 species
CCGUGCUUUUGUGGGAAUUGGGAAUAUGUCAAUGAUGGGGUAAUGCCUACUGUCUAAUUCAGCCAUUUAUCAGCAUAUUUCCCCACUUCCCUACUCUGCCUUCCCCACAAACCCCACAAAACCCCCAAAAGGAAAGAAAAAAUUUCCCAUUUCUUGAUCAGAUCCACCCAUCGUCACUGACUGCCUUCCUCAUCAACCAUGGCUGAGAAGGUAAGCCAAUUCUCUUGCUAGCUUUCCAAACCAUCCCUCAAAUGUGGUGAUAUUAUUGUUUUGCAUCUUUUUUUUUCCCCCUUUUUUAGUCUUUGCUCAGUUAGUGGCUUUAUUUCGUACGGACAAGAAUUUGAUUUUUUUUUUUUGUUUGGGGUGAUGCUCAAUUUUUUUGGACAAGAGAAAUCAGAGACCAUGUAUAUGAUGAGAAGCGAGAUCUGGUGACCAUCCCCGUGGUGUGCUGUAGCCCGGAGAAAAUCCGCGACAAAUUAUGGGUGACCAAGGCAUUAAGAGCACUGAGAUCAUGGAGCCAGAUAAGAUCAGGCCGCCCGAGAAACCUGAGGAGGCCGAGAAGCCCAAGCGGCCGGAGAAGCCUGAGGAGACCCAAAAACCCUCAGUUAUAGUAAUUGAAAAGUCGAAGAUGCCCUG